UACGGAGGAUGCGAGCGUUAUCCGGAUUUAUUGGGUUUAAAGGGUGCGUAGGCGGUCUGUUAAGUCAGCGGUAAAAUUGCGGGGCUCAACCCCGUCGAGCCGUUGAAACUGGCAGACUUGAGUUGGCGAGAAGUACGCGGAAUGCGCGGUGUAGCGGUGAAAUGCAUAGAUAUCGCGCAGAACUCCGAUCGCGAAGGCAGCGUACCGGCGCCACACUGACGCUGAGGCACGAAAGCGUGGGGAUCGAACAGG
rnacentral:rRNA from 1 species